UGGGGAAUAUUGCACAAUGGGGGAAACCCUGAUGCAGCAACGCCGCGUGAGUGAAGAAGUAUUUCGGUAUGUAAAGCUCUAUCAGCAGGGAAGAAAAUGACGGUACCUGACUAAGAAGCACCGGCUAAAUACGUGCCAGCAGCCGCGGUAAUACGUAUGGUGCAAGCGUUAUCCGGAUUUACUGGGUGUAAAGGGAGCGCAGGCGGUCUGGCAAGUCUGAUGUGAAAAUCCGGGGCUCAACUCCGGAACUGCAUUGGAAACUGUCAGACUAGAGUGUCGGAGAGGUAAGUGGAAUUCCUAGUGUAGCGGUGAAAUGCGUAGAUAUUAGGAGGAACACCAGUGGCGAAGGCGGCUUACUGGACGAUAACUGACGCUGAGGCUCGAAAGCGUGGGGAGCAAACAGG
rnacentral:rRNA from 1 species